AUACGGAGGGUGCAAGCGUUAUCCGGAAUCAUUGGGUUUAAAGGGUCCGCAGGCGGUCAAUUAAGUCAGAGGUGAAAGCCCAUCGCUCAACGAUGGAACUGCCUUUGAUACUGGUUGACUUGAGUUAUACGGAAGUAGAUAGAAUAAGUAGUGUAGCGGUGAAAUGCAUAGAUAUUACUUAGAAUACCGAUUGCGAAGGCAGUCUACUACGUAUAUACUGACGCUGAGGGACGAAAGCGUGGGGAGCGAACAGGAUUAGAAACCCGAGUAGUCC
rnacentral:rRNA from 1 species